UGCUCUUCCGCUCUGAAGUGUGUAACAACUCACCUGCCGAAUCAACUAGCCCUGAAAAUGGAUGGCGCUGGAGCGUCGGGCCCAUACCCAGCCAUCGCCGG